AGGCCAGCGAGUCGUUGCACCCCACGCCAAGUUCACCCAACCAGCGUCCCCGCCUGCGUCCUCAGCCCCGGCCCCCACGCUGCCCCCACGGGGCACCCUUUUCCCACCCCGCGGCCAAACUUACUCGUCCGGGUGUGUUUCUUCGGUCAUUUUCCUGUUCACCUAGACGCCUGUCCCGCGGCGGGCAGCUUUGCUCCCUUCAUCUUCCUGUCCGUUCGCCCCCCUUCUUCACAUCUCCGGAGAUCGCCUGAUUCGGUUGGGGAGGGGGAGCGGCAAGAGAUGAAGGGGGCGCCGCAGAAGGCAGAAGGGGAAGCUGGGCGACAGGAACGCGAGGAGGAGGAAGUAGGGCGGAAGCGAUGACGUCUUCCCAGCGGCCAGAGGUGGUGGAGUGCAAAAAGCUUCCUACUUGCGACCGAAAGAAAAAAAAAAAAAAGGAGAAAAAAAAAAAACUUUGUCCCGCCUACUGAGCAUGCCCGGCUUCCUUUCCCCCCUCCCUCCUGGCUUCCACUCCCGGAGGAGCAGCGGAGCGGAGUUGUUUGUGCAGCGUCUGUCUAGCUCCGAUCCUUUUUCGCCAACGCUCCGGGUUUUAAGAUGCCCGAGAAGAGGGAGGAGGCGGGAGCCGGGGACUCGCACACAUCUGGCUCCAGUUUUGUGCCCUCCCUCCAUCUCAACCCCUGGAUUAAAAAUAGGGGGGGCGGGAGCGAAGACGCGGAGAUCAGGGGAGGCCCGGAGGGGUGUUCUGGCUCAGAGGACCAAGUACCCCCAACGGUGGAGCCGGAGGGUGGGGGCGGCACAGGUGCUUUCGCCGGGAUUCUGAAUGGCAGAGGCUCUUUAUUUUUUCCUUCCAAUUUCACGUGAAUCUUGUGAUCAUUGUCUUGCUAGCGGAACGGGCGUUUUUGAGGAAUCAUUAUUUGUACAUUAAAAAAAAAAGUAAAUCCAACACAGCACUGCCCAGAAACGUUUGCAUUUCAAUAGAAAUGAUGGACUUCCUCGGGUUAAAAGCAAAACGGGACAGAUAGCUUGGAACACGAUCCAUUCAAUGAUGUCGAUUCAGAUCGUACAGCUUCAAAAGUAGAGUCGAU